CUGGUUUUUUUUUUUUUACACACAAAGCUUAGAUGUACUCAUAGUCUCUCCCCAACCCAUAAAUAGGAGGAUAAUGUGCUUUAACAUACUCAAACCUACGUCCUCCUAUAUUCACAAUAAUAUCCAUUCUAAUCGAGUUUAGACUCAAUGGGCAGUGUAAUUUAAUAUAAAAUCGGAGUCCAACAAUAAUUGAAAGAAUUUUUG
rnacentral:lncRNA from 1 species